rnacentral:sRNA from 1 species
CUGUUGAUACAUUUCGGUGAAAGGUCACAUUGCUGCAUGAACUUACCAACAGAUGCUGUAACCAGAAGUUUACUGAGAAACAGGACAUAGUCUGUGAUUUUGUCCAGUACCACCACUCUGAAAUGAAGAAACCCAUCAAUAAAGUAAUGAACGUAUAACAAUCAUACUGGUGUCAAUGUAUAUCUAAAUUCAGCACAAGUAUAUAUAGAUUACCUGACAAUAUUCCGUAAUAUAAGGAAGAAAGCGUCUUUGGCUGAUGUACAAAAGUUUUUACCAUACACUGCAAUCUAAAUUCGAAAAGAAACAAAUUUGUGUCAAUAUUUUUGUUUGAUGGUUCCAUAUCAAUGCAAACAUAUAUGUGAGCUAGUAAUCAUUCAAUAGUGUAUAUUCUUCCCUGUUACAAUACUUACCAGAAUGUAUGCAUUUCUGUUCAAAAAUUUCAUGAACUUCUCUAAACACCAGAAACAACAUUUCAGGCAUCUGGAAAAAAUAGAAAAAUAACAGUCAGAAGAUGCAUACACUGGUACAUUUAAGCCAGUACAAAAGAGGACCAAAGGAGAAUAACUCCUGCAAACACUUAUAUCAGAGUAAAUCCAAGAAUGUCAUACUUGAGAAAGAACUUGGCUAAUCUGUUUUCGGAGCCUUUCAGCUUAUGGUCCAGAUAUUCCAGAGCAACUCUUAUCAUCUGGAUGAUGGCUAUGAUCAAAGAUCCAAACGCCAAUGAUCCAAAGUGGUAUCUGAAAAAAUUUAAAAUAAAGUUCAUCAAAAUAAGAAGUCACUAUUUGAUUCCUUGAUUUAUUUGGUAUUGGAUAGCAUUGGAUAGCAACUUGCUUCUUCACAAGCAGCUAAACAAUGUAAAAGGUACCACAAAAUAUCAUAUGUAUGACCCUGACCUAAAUGUUCUGUACAGUGAGGCUGAGAGAGGGAAUGCUGGGAUAUCUUUUGGUUUCUCAAAUGCCCAGUAAUAGGAAGCAAAUGCCCCUGCCAACACCAUCUGUCCCAUGGCAACCACAAAAUUCAUGGUCCAGAAAAACAUAAACAGCAUGAAGACCUGCAUCACUACAAUAUACCUAUAAGGAAGAGAGCACAUUGUGGUUUUCUAGCAUAAGAAAUAAAUGUUUAGAUUCUGGAACAAUUUAAUUUCUCAUCACAUGAUUUUGGUGUGCAUAAAUGCAUCUACCACUAUAAUAAUUUCCAAGUAAUACAGAUAUGAAUGCUUAAUUUGUAAUAAGGAGAGAAAUUUGUUCUUACUCUGUUCCUCCGUAUUUCACAAAGUCACAGUACGAGCCCUGGGUUGAAUCCUGAAACAAAUUACAAGGACAAUGUACUCAUUACAGAGAGAGAGAGAGAGAGAGAGAGAGAGAGAGAGAGGGUAGGAAAGAGAGAUAGACAGACAGACAGACACUUACAUCCGGGGUACAAGGGAUCCUGGAGAGAUAGUAGUUGAUACCAUCAUCAGUUGUGUUGGUACCAUUCGUGUAAUACUUCUGGUCACCAAUAGAUGCUAUAUAUCUUUGGUGGAGUUAAGAGAAACUUUCGAUUGUUUAUUAAAGCUAAACAUUAAUGAUCGGACAAAAAUUUACCUCAUAAACUGAUGGCAUAGCAGGUAAAAACACAAAAUCAUAAGUGGAUAUAGUUUAAGCUAUACUGUACAUUGAAACUAAUAAGACUAUGUAUAAGGAUACACUGAGCUAAAGCCAAAGUAUCCCACAAUGGCAAGCUGAAUGAAAAACGGGAUGAUGGGCCAGAAUAAGGUGAAAAUCAUGUUCCCGAUGGCUCUACAAAAUGAACAAACAAUUAUUUUAAUGUCAUAAAAUAUAGGAAAGAAAACUCUCUUUUUCUUAUUGAACAACUUGUCAUGAUUUUAAAUGAUUUUAUGAUUCUAAUUGUCUUUCUUUGUCUGUAUUUUCCAACAUUAAAUAUUUACAAAUGUACUUGGAGACAACAAUAGGAGCAAUCAUAGUGCAACUUGUUUUAUCUAGGUGCAGAGUACUGUUGAUUCCUUUUUUACGCAAGUUCCUAAUUCAAGGAUUCCGCGGUUUCAUUUCAAAUUGCAAAAAUAAAAUAGCAAACACU